rnacentral:snoRNA from 1 species
AUCCUUCUCGGUCAUAAAAGUGAUGAACGGUUUAAUCACAGGACUCUGUGAGAGGUACAGGCCUAACCUUGUUACGCAAAUGUGCCUCAGUCCGUCUGACC